rnacentral:rRNA from 1 species
GAUGAACGCUGGCGGCGUGCCUAACACAUGCAAGUCGAACGAAGCACCUUACCUGAUUCUUCGGAUGAAAGUUUGGUGACUGAGUGGCGGACGGGUGAGUAACGCGUGGGUAACCUGCCCUGUACAGGGGGAUAACAGCUGGAAACGGCUGCUAAUACCGCAUAAGCGCACGAGGAGACAUCUCCUUGUGUGAAAAACUCCGGUGGUACAGGAUGGGCCCGCGUCUGAUUAGCUGGUUGGCAGGGUAACGGCCUACCAAGGCAACGAUCAGUAGCCGGUCUGAGAGGAUGAACGGCCACAUUGGAACUGAGACACGGUCCAAACUCCUACGGGAGGCAGCAGUGGGGAAUAUUACACAAUGGGGGAAACCCUGAUGCAGCAACGCCGCGUGAGUGAAGAAGUAUUUCGGUAUGUAAAGCUCUAUCAGCAGGGAAGAUAAUGACGGUACCUGACUAAGAAGCUCCGGCUAAAUACGUG